rnacentral:rRNA from 1 species
GAUGAACGCUGGCGGCGUGCCUAAUACAUGCAAGUCGAGCGAACAGACGAGGAGCUUGCUCCUCUGACGUUAGCGGCGGACGGGUGAGUAACACGUGGAUAACCUACCUAUAAGACUGGGAUAACUUCGGGAAACCGGAGCUAAUACCGGAUAAUAUAUUGAACCGCAUGGUUCAAUAGUGAAAGACGGUUUUGCUGUCACUUAUAGAUGGAUCCGCGCCGCAUUAGCUAGUUGGUAAGGUAACGGCUUACCAAGGCGACGAUGCGUAGCCGACCUGAGAGGGUGAUCGGCCACACUGGAACUGAGACACGGUCCAGACUCCUACGGGAGGCAGCAGUAGGGAAUCUUCCGCAAUGGGCGAAAGCCUGACUGAGCAACGCCGCGUGAGUGAUGAAGGUCUUCGGAUCGUAAAACUCUGUUAUUAGGGAAGAACAAAUGUGUAAGUAACUAUGUACGUCUUGACGGUACCUAAUCAGAAAGCCACGGCUAACUACGUG